UUUAUUGGAGAGUUUGAUCCUGGCUCAGGACGAACGCUGGCGGCGUGCCUAAUACAUGCAAGUCGAGCGGACUUUAAAAGCUUGCUUUUAAAGUUAGCGGCGGACGGGUGAGUAACACGUGGGCAACCUGCCUGUAAGACUGGGAUAACUUCGGGAAACCGGAGCUAAUACCGGAUAAUCCUUUUCCUCUCAUGAGGAAAAGCUGAAAGACGGUUUACGCUGUCACUUACAGAUGGGCCCGCGGCGCAUUAGCU
rnacentral:rRNA from 1 species